CACAAAACUUUUUUCUACCUCGCUACCUCCUCUGUGAUUCGUCGCUGAGCAAAUACUCUAUGAGGAAAAGGAGCCUUAGGUCUGACAAGAGGAAAAGAAGUCGGAAAUUAAAGGAAGGCUCGCAGGGAGAUCAUCUCAGGGUGCACUCUCUAUGAGAAAAACAGUGAAAGGCUUUUCGAGAAUUAAGUAGGUUAGGAAGAAAGCCUCAAGACAGACUAGUAACUUGCUGCUUCAAGCCAUUGCUUUUAGAAGUGCAAACAGUUCGAUUUCAGAUGGAUUUCAGUUUUCUCACCUAACUUCCUGAAAAGCCAAUAGACCCAGUUGCUGAAGAAUUGGAAGGACUAAAAAUCUGUUUUUCAAAAAAAGUUACCAUUGUGGAAAAUGUCUACAGAGGCAGCUGUUCUAUCCACAGAGAGGAACGUCAAAAGUUGCACAGAAUUUCCACUACUUCUGAAAGCAACCUGUUCCACCCAGAAAAGAAGUUACUUAUGAAUGAAAGUCUUACCCUUGUUAGGAAAGAGGAGGAUCAUUUGAAUCAAUAAAGGAAGGCAUUAUCAGAAAGGCAUUCAGGAAGCAGAAUCCCAUGCCUCAGGGUGAGAGAUGGCUGGGAAGAAAAACACCGAGUUCUGCUCUGCGCACUAAGCACUUGACAGACUGCUUGAUUUUCCCGUUGGAUACUGAGGACAGUCCAGCCACAGCAAUAUUCGUGUCCCGCUUUAUAGUCAAGGAAACUGAUACCCACAAAGUGAAAGGAUUCACCCACAGUCAGUAGAGCCAGCACAUGGAGGAAAAGAGCCAUCAACCUCAGCUCAUUUGACUCCCAUUCACCUCAAGACCAUGGAUAAAUGGUUGCUGAAUAAUUGCUCAAGUCUGAUUUCAAGCACUUUCUAAUGUGUAAUCUUGAUAACUGUGGUUGCACAAUAAAUGGAACACAGUUUCCCAAAGUU